UCUAUUUCUAAGCAGUGUGCUCCAUCCCAGCUUCCCACACCCGGUGGCUCCAUGGCAGUUCUGGAGCAGCCACUGUCUCUCAGGGAGCCGGGAAUCCAGGAUGCCCGCUCUGCAGGCUGAGUGCUGUCUGCCUGGUUCACUGACUCCAUACCCAGGACCCACAGCCAGCCGUGGUCGGGUGAUGCCCUCCACAUUCCAAUACCUGGAAGCAGCAAUUCCUGUGAGCACUGUGCCUUUUAUGGUAAGACUUUAGGGAAAUAACAGCAGAAUGAGCAGAGAAUGAUGGCACCCCCUUCCACAUGCUUUUUACUGAAUGUGGACUGGAACGUGGGGGGCCCUGCUGGCCUCCAUUUUGCAGGCCUCUGGUGGGAGCCUCUGAGAAGAAUUGGUCAACAACAACAACAAGAAAGUAUGUUUUGAAGUUGGAUUCUCUUGUGCUGUGCAGCCUCCUCCUCUGGACUUAAAAAUGGCCAUACUGGUAUCAGCCAUCGGUCUGCGAAGGGCUAAAGGUCCGGGGCACCUGCUGAGUGUGGCUGUACACCAAGUCCUCUCUCAACUCGCUCUUAGGACAAAUGCUGGUGCUUCUCAGGCUGGAUCUGACUGGCUUCUGGCUUUCACAGAACCGGAAUAAGCCGGAAUGAGCCGGAAUGGCCUCUAGAGAUGCUCUGAGGUCGGCAGGCCAGACCAUUCCUCCUGGAGCCUCUGCUUCACCGAAUUCUGAUGGAUCCCUGCCCACUCUGCUUGGCCUGUGCCCCUCCUGGCACCAUCUGCCUGAGCCUGGGCUGGCGCUCUGUCAGCCUUUGCAACACAGCUAUGAGACUUGGAAAGCUGGAGUUUGGUUUAGCAGAGAAAUGCAUUUGAAAUCUUCCCUCUAGGCCCCCCUCUUUCUGUUCCCCCUCCUCACCUCCCUCCAGGACCAAUUUAUCUGCCAGUCCAGCCUCCAAGAGGAGCUGGGGCCAAGUUGGAGACCUGCUUAUGCUUGUCAGCCUCUGUGGCCAGAUGACAAGAGAGCAGCCCACAGCUGGGAGAGGACUGGGAAGUCCCCGUGUGCAGAGCGUGCUUAACAGGGGGGCGGGCAGGUCAGAAGCUUCCCCCUGGCUGCAAAGGAGGUGUGGAGGACAGGUAUGCCCUGUCCCUGAGGGAGACACUAAGCCUUGGCAUGUGUUUAUGUGAGCAUGCAUGUCUGGGUGCAUGGAUGUGCAUUUGUGUGUGCAUGUGUGUGCACAUGUGCCUGCGUGUACACAUUCUGGUGUGGUAGAGAAAGAGCUCAAGGUGGCAUCAGGUACUCUCGGGCUGUCUGGAGUCUGCACAGGUGUCUCUGCCUCGGCCUUGGCAUGUACAGUCGGUUUGAAGCUCUGCUGCUCGCCACGGCCCAGGGGAGCUAUGCCUGUCACAUUGGAGUGUGCACAGCUGUAGCAGUAGCCUGGCCAGUGCCUGGCAGGAGAGGCGACCCUUGCUCUGGAGUCCUCAGCUGCUGGCAAGAGGCAGUGAGUGUAUCCAUCCUUCCAUCUAUCCAUCCAUCCAUCCAUCCAUCCAUCCAUCCAUCCACCCUCAUGAUUCUCUAGCCUGACCUUCUGUGGGUCAGAUCUCCAGACUGUGGGGAUGCGGGAGAAGAUGAAUAGAAAAGGUGUGUUUUUCGCACUCAGAGGAUGAAAGAGUGCCCAGGCCGGAAAGGAGUGCAAAAGUCACCCAGUCCCCACACCACUGGGUGUUGCAUCCUAGGACGGUUUCUGUAGUAUUAGGUAUCACUGUCCACACGCCUCGUGGGGCAGUUGGUCCUUGUGGCCUCCCCAUGAUCACUGUCAUCCAGUUCGGCCCUGUCUUCCCCGACCUCUUCUCUCUCUCUCUCUUUCUUUCUUUCCCUCUCUCUCUCUCUCAGCUCCCUGGAGUUCCAUUCUUGGCCUCUUUGCACCUGCGCACAGUCCCUGGUGGUGCUGCACCCUCACAAGGGCUCCACGCCUAUUUCUAGCUCCUGCCUUCUCUGCAGAGUUCCAGGCCUGUGUUUGGCUCUAUCUACUUGGAAGACUCACAGGUUCUUCAAAACCAACCAACGUGAAGCCAGUUUGUCCUGACUUUUACCCCAAACCUGAUGACUGCUUCAUCCCCUGUCUUGAGAAGUCUCCACUGCCCACCCAUUGUCUAAACCAGCAUUAAAGUGGAGAUGACAGAGUCCCUCCUGGAGAGCCGGUCUAGCCAUUCAGUGAGUCAGCAGCACAGCUCCUCCAGCACGCAGAGAACAGCGGUCCAUGGAGGGAGGGCGUGAGCCUGGGGUUUUACUGAGGAAGGAUAGUGGGUUUUUCAGUCCCUGAAGCUGCUGCUCUGCCCACUCAGGAAGGUGAGGAAGGCAGACGACAGCGUACAUCCAGCCUCUGCUCUGCCAGGGUCGUUGAUGCCCUUUGGAAUGGAGAGCUGUGAAGGGGAAUGCCUAGGCCUCACAGAGGAGGCUCGUGACCCGGACAGGUGUGGGACUAGGGGCCAUGUCUGUAGCUCCCCUGCCACGGAGCAGAAUCUGCCUCUCCAUAAGCGUUAAGCUCUGGGGACUGUGACAUCCACGCUGGGCCUGGCUCCUGCCUUCCGCCUCCUGCCCAGCCCCUGCCAGCAGCACAUGGUGGAGACCGGUUGCCCAAAGCUCUUGUUCUCAGAUGUGGGCAGAACGGGAAUCUGCCAUGUGCCCGUGGAUUAAAAAAAAGAAACCCAGGCUGCUUUUCUGUCUGUUAGAAGGAGCCUGCACUUCAAGAUAGUGGGGAUGUAUAUUUUAAAAAAUUUCACGCUCAUGGGCCAAAGAUUUUCCCGGGGCUGUGUGCUGAUUUGCAGCCUAUCAUGUGUGGCUUUGGGACACUGGGGAAGGUGUGGAGCAGUUUAAGUGACAAACGGGUUGGAAAAGCAAAGGACACCAGGUGAGGAUGAUGGAAUUUACAUCCUGUUGCUUCCCUGAUAGUUCCUGCCAAUAUGGGAUCCCACUACUAUCUUUCUGCCCUAAAAAUAUGUGUAUAUUGAGAUAGAAACUGUUGUAAUGGCUGCAUGCAUUCAGUAGAGGAAAGGAGAGAAGAAAGAAGGAACAGAUUUAGUCCUGCCCAGAAUCUGCACUUCCACGGAGGACGCCAGGAUAUCACGGGAGAGACUGCAGCUCUGAUCAAAUGGGGCGAGCUCUUGGCAGGAGCCAGCAUGUUCCUGUGUUCCAUUUGGGAGGACAGUUUACUUUAAUGAUGUACUUUGAAAUCAGGUGGACGUCUGUAACUCCUGGACCUUUCGCAGCCUUUCCAGCCACGGUCAUCUCUGUGGAGUCAGGGGCAGGGACUUUGGGAUCAGCUUCUGCCCUUGUGAAAACAGCAGAGCAGCCUGAGAGCCAGGAAGGACCUCACCUGAGUAUCAGAUCACCUCAUCAGGCUGAAUUGUGUGGAUCUAGGGAUUUUAAAGAGGUGAUUAAGGUAAAAUGAGGUUAUUAGGGUGGCCCUUGACCCAGUGUGACUGGUAUCCUCAUAAGAGGAGAUUAGGACACAGCCACACAGAGGGACGACCACCUGAGGAUCCCUGAGAAGAUGGCAUCUGGAAGGUGAGGAGAGAGGCCUCAGAAGGAAUCAACUCUGCUGAUACUUGAUGCCAACUUCCAGCCUCUGAAACUGCGAGCAAGGUGGUUUGUUAUUCAGCAAUGGAUAAUUAGAGCACUGACUCACCUUGAUGGGCCUCAUCAUCAUUCAUCCAGAAAUCUUUUAUUGAGAAAAAUAAUAUUUGCCAUGUUGUGCAAGGAGUUGGGGUUGCAAAGCUGGGUGCUGUGAUCUAUAACACAAGGCAGCAGGAUUGUCUGACCUCCGAGAGCCAUGUGCCCUGGGAUCAUCUGGCCACAGUUAUCUCACAGAAUUCCUAAUGCACAGUCUGUGUGGGAGGUGAUGCCGGAGUCCCCCCUCCCUCUGGGCUCCUCCCCGUGCUCUGCUCACAUCACUGGGGGGUUGGCGGCAGCCUGCUGAGUCCUUUCGACCCUCAGCCCGCUCUCCAGCACUCAGACUGGCCGAAACCUGUGCCGCUGGCUCCACCCUCAGGUCUCCCCACUCCUCUCAUUAGCCACCGGCCUUCUCAGCCUUCUCUUAUUCUUGUGACUCUUGCCUGACCCUGCCUCAGCUCUGUGUCCUCCCAGACUGCUGACUGUGAGGCUUUGCCCAGCGGAUUUUCCAUCGCCAAAUUAGAGCUUUUCUUUCCUCGCCUGACUGCUCCCUGUCACUGUCUUCUGUAUCUUCCUGUUCCUGAUUUUGGCUGGCUAUCAAGAGAAGAAGAUCUACAAUCAUCCUAUCUCUCAUGGCACCUUACCAUGUGCAACUCCCUCGUAUCUAAUACCUCACUUCACCUUUUCUGUUCUUCUAUUUAUGAGCUACGUGAUGUCAGACAAGGCACUUAACUACUCUGGGCUUUGGCUCCCUUAUUUAACGAUAGGUAUCAUAAUAAUACCUGUCCUGUCCAAUUUA
rnacentral:lncRNA from 1 species